rnacentral:rRNA from 1 species
UACGUAGGGGGCAAGCGUUGUCCGGAUUUAUUGGGCGUAAAGAGCGUGUAGGCGGCCAGGUAGGUCGGUUGUGAAAGCUGGAGGCUCAACCUUCAGAGGUCGACCGAAACCAUCUGGCUAGAGUCCGGGAGAGGAGAGUGGAAUUCCUGGUGUAGCGGUGAAAUGCGCAGAUAUCAGGAAGAACACCCGUGGCGAAAGCGGCUCUCUGGAACGGUACUGACGCUGAGACGCGAAAGCGUGGGGAGCGCACAGG